UUUGAAAUUUGAAGUGCCCACUUCACCCGCGGCUCCAGGGAAGGAGGAGGGGAAGCAACCGAGGAGGAAGGAGGAGACUCGAAUGUCCUGAUCACCCCAGUACCAACCAAGCCGGCCAGGGAGACCCCGGCGGCAGUGGUGAGGCCUAAAAUGUUAUCUGUGGGUGGGAUUCGGUACGGAGAGCUACACCGAAGAGGAAGAGGACCAGGGAGAAGUCGAUGAGGGGAUCAAGCCAACAUGUGGAGACUAGAGCAGCCCUGAGAGGAGAUGGGAGUCGACCUGUCCGUCGGAAAAAAAUAAGUAUCGAAUCAGCUACUAACCCCCAAACUCUUGGAAACUUUUACUGCUCAUAUCAAAUUAUUUGAACCAGGAUCAGUCUCUCUCACAUUUUUAGAUUUCAGAUGAAAAGGUGUUUGGACUUUUUCUCCCAAAGUAUUUCCCCACUCCAUUUUCAGGAGAAAGAAUUCUGGUUAGGAUGUUGCUUUUAUUCCUCAGAAUCCAGUCAGGGGAAAGAGAGGAGUUACGGGAAGCUUUUAAUUAGGAAGAAACGAUAGGGAAAGUCCAAGAGAGAUUAAAAAGAGAGUACCGGUAGUCUAUUUAAAAGUAGAUAAAAACCUGAAACUUCACUGUAAAUUUCUCAGGAAAAUUUACCUCCCGUCCCCUUUAAAAGAAGGAAUGAAACACCUGAAGCCGAGGCUCCCUGCCAUUAGAGCAGUUCACUCUCCUGACAACUGGGAUUGGGAUUAUAUUCCAUUUGAGGCUUGGAUUUGUUUUUAGGAGAGAGCAAAGAAAAUUCUUGCACAUCCUCUAAAGGUCUAUUUCUGAAGGUGAUCUGGAAAUGAAUUCCUGCUGUAAAGCGGUGGUAGAGUCCGAGUUCUAACCCAAGUGGAUAUUUUUCAGAGACUUCACCACUUCUGGGAGCGCCCCUGACCGGCAGGCAUCUCCCCAGAGCUCCAGUCCCAGACAGGAGAGCGAGGAGGGCUAGAUGAAAAGAUGCUGGCAGCAGCCAAGCUCCAGGAGAUGAGCUGGAGAAUACCCGAGAAGGAAGAAGGAGAUUUGAAUGUCCUGACUACCCCUGCACCAACCAAGCCGGCCAGGGAGAUCCCGGCGGCAGCGGUGAGGCUCCAAAAGUGAAGUUGAUUUGCCUUUUACAUACCCCUGGGAGGGAUUCGGGACAGAGAGCUGCACCAAAGAG